UACGUAGGGUGCAAGCGUUUAAUCGGAAUUACUGGGCGUAAAGCGUGCGCAGGCGGUUUUGUAAGUCUGUCGUGAAAUCCCCGGGCUCAACCUGGGAAUGGCGAUGGAGACUGCAAGGCUAGAGUUUGGCAGAGGGGGGUAAGAAUUCCACGUGUAGCAGUGGAAAUGCGUAGAUAUGUGGAGGAACACCGAUGGCGAAGGCAGCCCCCUGGGUCAAAAACUGGACGCUCAUGCACGAAAGCGUGGGGAGCAAACAGGAUU
rnacentral:rRNA from 1 species